GACGAACGCUGGCGGCGUGCUUAACACAUGCAAGUCGAACGGAAAGGCCCUGCUUUUGUGGGGUGCUCGAGUGGCGAACGGGUGAGUAACACGUGAGUAACCUGCCCUUGACUUUGGGAUAACUUCAGGAAACUGGGGCUAAUACCGGAUAGGAGCUCCUGCUGCAUGGUGGGGGUUGGAAAGUUUCGGCGGUUGGGGAUGGACUCGCGGCUUAUCAGCUUGUUGGUGGGGUAGUGGCUUACCAAGGCUUUGACGGGUAGCCGGCCUGAGAGGGUGACCGGCCAAAUUGGGACUGAGGUGCGGCCCAGACUCCUACGGGAGGCAGCAGUGGGGAAUAUUGCACAAUGGGCGGAAGCCUGAUGCAGCAACGCCGCGUGCGGGAUGACGGCCUUCGGGUUGUAAACCGCUUUCGCCUGUGACGAAGCGUGAGUGACGGUAAUGGGUAAAGAAGCACCGGCUAACUACGUG
rnacentral:rRNA from 1 species